rnacentral:snoRNA from 2 species
GGGUCAAUGAUGACAAACUGAUGUCAUGAAGAAAUGUGAUGACAUAAAAUUUAUGCUCAAUAGGAUUACGCUGAGGCCC